rnacentral:rRNA from 1 species
AAGCCAGACUCCUACGGGAGGCAGCAGUGGGGAAUAUUGCACAAUGGGGGAAACCCUGAUGCAGCAACGCCGCGUGGGUGAAGGAGCGUUUCGGCGCGUAAAGCCCUGUCAGCAGGGAAGAGAAUGACGGUACCUGAAGAAGAAGCCCCGGCUAACUACGUGCCAGCAGCCGCGGUAAUACGUAGGGGGCAAGCGUUAUCCGGAUUUACUGGGUGUAAAGGGGGCGCAGACGGCGAUGCAAGCCAGGAGUGAAAGCCCGGGGCCCAACCCCGGGACUGCUCUUGGAACUGCGUGGCUGGAGUGCAGGAGGGGCAGGCGGAAUUCCUGGUGUAGCGGUGAAAUGCGUAGAUAUCAGGAGGAACACCGGUGGCGAAGGCGGCCUGCUGGACUGCAACUGACGUUGAGGCCCGAAAGCGUGGGGAGCAAACAGGAUUAGAUACCCGCGUA